rnacentral:misc_RNA from 1 species
ACGUUAUUUAAAAAUUAUGGAUAUUGAGAAAAUAAAAGUAUAGUAUUUUAAUGGUGUUAUUAUGUAUAUUAGUUGUGUAAAGGAAAUUAUUUAGAAGGGAAAUUUGUAAGUAGUUUUUUAGGAUUUUUAAGUAGUUUUUUAGGAUAGGAAUAUUUUAUGUAUAUUAAAUGUUGUUAAUAUAUGUUCUUUUAAUGUUUAUGAUUUUUGGAUGAUGU